GUCUUUUGUUGCUGUCUCAUCUUGUUUAACCCCAGCAUGCAUCACCCGUGUGAUGAGAGACCCACAAAUGCUACGCUCUACACUUCACCCUGAGGGGCUCCUCAGCAACCAGGACAACUGUGAGAGGCUGAGGGUGUCACUUCAUCUCUGGAAGAGCACACAAAGAUGGCUCUGGAAUGUUCCUCUCUGAGACACGCCUACCUUUUCUGGUAAGGACACAGCCGGGAUAGCAGCGUGAUCCUAGAGGAGCAUGGUCCAGGCCACCACUGCGCAGGCGUUGUCCUGUUCCCACCCUCUCUACUUCCUGUUCUGCAAGGCAGUCCUUAGGUGCUGGAGCUGGCAGUGACAGAAGAGACCUGCAAGAAGACGCUCCUGGCAGCAUAGUUUACCCUGUCCCUUUGAGAACUAUCCCAGCACAAUCCUCCUUUCACAGGAGAAGUACCCUGAAAGCAAGGGUGGGGUUGGAUCUAGAACCUCGUGGGAUUCCAGGCACUGGGAGACUUAUUGAAAUCGCGCAGUCCUGGGAGACAGCAACACUAGUUUGUUUCCCACAAGUCAAGUCAGAAUGAGGAACACGUUUACAGGUUCGGAAAAGUGACUGCAUUCUGGCCAGCAUGUACUCAGUCCACUUACGACAAGCCAGCAAGUCUGGUGCAUCUCUGGCUCUGUGUAUGCUUAUUAUAGCUACUUGUGCUUAGUUGAGAAACCAUUCAGGAAAAAUAGUCUAGCUUCGUCAGGGACAGCCGUGAUGUUGUACCUCUAGCUGGCUACAAUAAUCUAAGGCAGGAAGUUCCUUAACCUGAUAAAGAGCUAACUUAUGCUCUAAAUGAGUGACUGCUUUCCUUCAAAUAUCAGCAAAAACCAAGGACGUCUGUUCCUGCCAAUUUUAUCCAACAUCUUCCUCCAAGUACAACUCGGUAUUUGUAGACAAAUGACCUUAGAAAACUGCAAAGAAUCCACUAAAAAUUAUUAGAACUAAAUAAGUUUAUCUUCAGUACAUUAGAUCAAUAUUCAAAUAUCAGUUUUAUUUUUGUGCAUUAGUGAUGUGCAACCCCCCAAA
rnacentral:lncRNA from 1 species